rnacentral:rRNA from 1 species
AGCGUUGUUCGGAAUUACUGGGCGUAAAGGGUUUGUAGGUGGCUUGUUACGUCAGACGUGAAAUCCCUCAGCUUAACUGGGGAACUGCGUCUGAUACUGGUGAGCUUGAGUGCAGGAGAGGAACGCGGAAUUCCAGGUGUAGCGGUGAAAUGCGUAGAUAUCUGGAGGAACACCGGUGGCGAAGGCGGCGGUCUGGACUGCAACUGACACUGAAAAACGAAAGCCAGGGGAGCAAACGGG